rnacentral:tRNA from 1 species
UUUAGUUUUGUGGGUCCAUAUGGAGAUGAUCCUACUGUCGGCCAUUUAUCAACACCCGUUACUACAUCAAUGAUCACACGCACGC